rnacentral:rRNA from 1 species
GCCGACUUAAGGUGAAACCGCGAAUGGCUCAUUAAAUCAGCUAUGAUCCAUUGGAUCUUUAAACCUACUUACUUGGAUAACUGUGGUAAUUCUAGAGCUAAUACAUGCAUCACGUCUCUGACCGCAAGGGAAGAGCGCUUUUAUUAGUUUCAAACCAGUCGGGCCUCGGUCCGUCAGCCAAAAUGUGGUGACUCUGAAUAACUUUUUGCUGAGCGCAAAGUCUAUGCACUUGGCGCUGAAUCCUUCAAGUAUCUGCCUUAUCAGCUGUCGAUUGUAGGUUACACGCCUACAAUGGCUAUAACGGGUAACGGGGAAUCAGGGUUCGAUUCCGGAGAGGGAGCCUGAGAAACGGCUACCACAUCCAAGGAAGGCAGCAGGCACGCAAAUUACCCACUCCUGGCAUGGGGAGGUAGUGACGAAAAAUAACGAUGCGAGACUCAUCCGAGGCCUCGCAAUCGGAAUGAGUACACUUUAAAUCAUUUAACGAGGAUCGAUUGGAGGGCAAGUCUGGUGCCAGCAGCCGCGGUAAUUCCAGCUCCAAUAGCGUAUAUUAAAGUUGUUGCGGUUAAAAAGCUCGUAGUUGAAUCUCACUAACGGACUGACGGAUGGUUGGUUGGUUGGUUGGUUGGAUAGUUUGGUCACCGCCCGGUGGCUGCUGCUACCACCACCACUACUACUAAUUCUGUCAUGCUCCGAACAGCCGCAAUACCGCUGGCUUGCACGGUUUGCUCUUCAUCGAGUGUCCCGAGUGGCUGGCACGUUUACUUUGAAAAAAUUAGAGUGCUCAGAGCAGGCUUGUUGAAUGGCCUGAAUGUCUAUGCAUGGAAUAAUGGAAUAGGACCUCGGUUCUACUUUGUUGGUUUACUGAAUCAGAGGUAAUGACUAAUAUGGACAGGCGGGGGCAUUCGUAUUGCGACGCUAGAGGUGAAAUUCUUGGACCGUCGCAAGACGAACUACUGCGAAAGCAUUUGCCAAGGAUGUUUUCAUUAAUCAAGAACGAAAGUUAGAGGAUCGAAGGCGAUCAGAUACCGCCCUAGUUCUAACCGUAAACGAUGCUAACCAGCGAUCCGCUCGAGUUAUUUCCAUGACCCGGCGGGCAGCUUCCGGGAAACCAAAGUCUUUGGGUUCCGGGGGAAGUAUGGUUGCAAAGCUGAAACUUAAAGGAAUUGACGGAAGGGCACCACCAGGAGUGGAGCCUGCGGCUUAAUUUGACUCAACACGGGGAAACUCACCAGGCCCAGACACCGGAAGGAUUGACAGACUGAGAGCUCUUUCUCGAUUCGGUGGGUGGUGGUGCAUGGCCGUUCUUAGUUGGUGGAGCGAUUUGUCUGGUUAAUUCCGAUAACGAACGAGACUCACACCUACUAACUAGUCGAGGGACCCUCAGCCAAAUUUGGCAGUGGGUGUCCGCUCGCAACUUCUUCUUAGAGGGAUAAGCGGCAAUUCUAGCCGCAGGAGAUUGAGCAAUAACAGGUCUGUGAUGCCCUUAGAUGUUCUGGGCCGCACGCGCGCUACACUGAAGGGUUCAACGUGCUUUCCCCCUCCGAAAGGAGUGGGUAAUCCGUUCAAACCUCUUCUUGAUUGGGAUUGGGGCUUGCAAAUGUUUCCCAUGAACGAGGAAUUCCCAGUAAGCGCAAGUAAUCAGCUUGCGUUGAUUACGUCCCUGCCCUUUGUACACACCGCCCGUCGCUACUACCGAUUGAAUGAUUUAGUGAGGACUUCGGACUGGCGCUCUUGGUUGUUGUACUAGUAGGAUGCCACUCGAGGGAGGGAGCAUUGCGUGCUUCCUCAUCUCGUUGCUGGGGUUCUUCUCAAACUCUUGAGCUGACGGAAAGAUGUCCAAACUUGAUCAUUUAGAGGAAGUAAAAGUCGUAACAAGGUUUCCGUAGGUGAACCUGCGG